rnacentral:rRNA from 1 species
GACGAACGCUGGCGGCAUGCCUAACACAUGCAAGUCGAACGGAAAGUCCCUGCUUUUGUGGGCUGCUCGAGUGGCGAACGGGUGAGUAACACGUGAGUAACCUGCCCUUGCCUUUGGGAUAACUUAAUGACACUUGGGCUCAUACCGGAUAGGAUCUCCUGCUGCAUGGUGGGCGUUGGUAGGUUUCGGUGGUUGGGGUUGGACUCGCGGCUGAUCAGCUUGUUGGUUGGGUAGUGUCUUACCAAGGCUUGGGCGGCUAGCCGGCUUGAGAGGGUGACCGGCCAGACAGGGAGGGAGUGACGGACCAGACUGACACGGGCGCAGCAGUGGAGAAUAGAGCACAAGGGGCGGAAGCCUGAUGCAGCAAAGCAGCGUGGGGGAAGUGGGCAAGGGGGUUGUAUUGCGAUUCCGCCUGUGCCGAAGCGUUAGUGACGGUAACGGGUAAAGAAGCACCGGCUAACUACGUG